UAUAGAGAUUAAAUUAAUAUAAUGUAAAAAAUAAAAAAAAUAAUUCUAAAAUAAAAAUAUUAUUAAUGGGGGUUAAAGUAUUUUAAAUAGAAAAAAUUUUAUUAUUUAUAGGGAAUUAGUAUUGUAAAAGAAUUUUGAAAAAUAAUGAAAUAAUAAUUUUUUGGGAAGUAAAUUUAAUUUAUUGUAUCUUGUGUAUCAGAGUUUAUUAAUAAAGGUUUUUAGGUUAAAAAUAUCUCGAAUUUAAAAGAGUUAAUUAAUUAAUAAAGUUAAUGUUGUAUAAUUAUUUUUCAUAAUUAAUUGGAAAUGAAAUGUUAAUCGUUUUUAAAAAUAUCUAGUUUUUUUAGAAAAAAAUUUAAUUUUAAAUUAAUUUUUAAUUUUUUUUUUAUUUUUAAAAAGAAAAUUAAUUUUAAUUAAAUAUUUUAGGGGAUAAGCUUUAAAUUAAAAUUUUAUAAUAAAAUUAUUUAAAUAUAUUUUUGAAAUUUUUAAAAUUUAUAUUUUUUAUAAAUUAUAAUUUUUUAUAAAUAAUUUCAUAUUUGUUUAAAAUUUAAAAUUAAGUUAUUUAAAUUUUUAUAAAAAAAUAAUUUUUAAUAAAAUAAAAUUAGAGAUAAUGAUAAAAUUAGUAAAAUAUAAUAAUGUAAAAUUAUAAAAAAUAUAAUAAAGGUAAUAAAAAGGAAUUCGGCAAAAUU
rnacentral:rRNA from 1 species